UGGGGAAUAUUGGACAAUGGGCGCAAGCCUGAUCCAGCAAUGCCGCGUGGGUGAAGACGGCCUGCGGGUUGUAAAGCCCUUUAGGUGGGGAAGAAGGAGGCUGGGUGAAUAGCCGAGUCUUUUGACAUUACCCACGGAAUAAGCACCGGCUAACUCCGUGCCAGCAGCCGCGGUAAUACGGAGGGUGCGAGCGUUAAUCGGAAUGACUGGGCGUAAAGCGUGCGUAGGCGGUAACGUCAGUCAGUCGUGAAAGCCCUGGGCUUAACCUGGGAAUGGCGAUUGAGACGGCGUAACUCGAGUGGGCUAGAGGACUGUGGAACUCCCGGUGUAGCGGUGAAAUGCGUAGAGAUCGGGAAGAACACCGAUGGCGAAGGCAGCGGUCUGGGGCCACACUGACGCUGAGGCACGAAAGCGUGGGGAGCAAACAGG
rnacentral:rRNA from 1 species